CUUGAACGCUGGCGGCAGGCCUAACACAUGCAAGUCGAACGAUUGGCGGACGGGUGAGUAAUGUCUGGGAAACUGCCUGAUGGAGGGGGAUACCUACUGGAAACGGUAGCUAAUACCGCAUACCAUCGGAUGUGCCCAGAUGGGAGUAGCUAGUAGGUGGGGUAAAGGCUCACCUAGGCGACGAUCCCUAGCUGGUCUGAGAGGAUGACCAGCCAAACUGGAACUGAGACACGUUCCAGACUCCUACGGGAGGCAGCAGUGGGGAAUAUUGCACAAGGGGCGAAAGCCGGAUGCAGCCAUGCCGCGUGUAGGAAGAAGGCCUUCGGGUUGUAAAGUACUUUCAGCGGGGAGGCGUUACCCGCAGAAGAAGCACGGGCUAACUCCGUGCCAGCAGCCGCGGUAAUAC
rnacentral:rRNA from 1 species